AUAUGCAUUACGUACUCGGCUUUGAUACGCUUGCAUAUUAUCUAAAGCUAUCAAACGAGUAUCUAUUAAUUCCUAUUUUUUGUCUUUCAUUAACUCACCAUAUUAUUCGGUCUUUUUUUUUUAUUUCUCUUCCCUUUUUGGCGAACACGUGUGAGUCUGCGGAAAUCGACCGGCCGAGGCCGUGUGAAUUUUUUAUUUCAUUUUGAAAAAUUACAACGAUAAUUUCAGAGAACGAUAAUAACAUCGGGAAAGCGCGGCAUCAGCGCGACGCGGAUUUUUUAAUUUUUUUCAAUAGAAUUCAACAGCAAUCGCGCGAAAAUGAUUGCAAAAUCUAGUAAUUUCUAGGCCGUCGGAAAAAU
rnacentral:lncRNA from 1 species